GACGAAACUAAGAAAUGGGACCCUGUCACGUACUCACGUCCAAACAUAUAUCCAUCCGCAGCCAAUGACGACACGCCGGGUGGUUCACUCGCUGCCCGGACCGGAGGUAGCUUUGGUGACGCUGGUGAAGACGACACUGCUGCCGAGCAGGUCCUUGCCGAUGUCGGCGGUGAAGGUGUCGUAACGGAGGAAGAGCUCGACGAGGAAGAGCCUGCCAACGAGCACCACAAAGUUCUUGCCGGGGCACUGCUUGUUGUCGACGGUGGGGUUCUCGGUCUCGCGGCCGUUGGACCAGUAGACGUACUGCAGCAGCUUGCUGCCCUCCUCGCCGAGGAACCGGCCGGGCACGAACUCCUUGGCCGUGGCGCCGAACACGCGGGGGUCCUUGGUGGCGCACGGCUGGUAGCCGAACAGCAUCUCGCCCUUCUUCACCUGGAACACGGCGUCGUGGCUCUGGACCUGCAGGUCUUUCUUGGCGUGGCCGUACUGGAACUUGACGGGCGGGUCCAGGCGCAGCGACUCCCACACGACCGACUUGGCCAGCUCCAUCUUCUCCACCGCCGCGAGGGUGACCUUGCCGCCGGCCUCGGCCACGGCGCCUCGAAUCUCAGCCACCAGCCGCUCGUGGAGCUUCUCGCCGGCGCUGGCGACGUUGGCCAGGAUGCCCGGGAACAGCACCUUGAGGCCGCCGUAGCUGUUGAAGGUGGUGGCGAAGAGGAGGUUGUGGCAGGCCUCCUCGCGCGACAGGCCCAGGCCCUCGGCGGUGUCCAGCGCCUGCUUCGCCACCGUGGAGAAGUACUUGUACAGCGCCCCGUAGUCGCCCUUGACGAAGAAGGGCGGGAGGUGGAACGUGUGGAGCAGCGGCUCCUCGAGGACCAUGGGGAGGCCGAGCGUGAGGAGCGGGUGGAGCUGCCAGAUGAGCCACUUGGCCGCCUUGGUGGGCCCGCCCUUGCCGAGGUCCGUCGCCGAGGGGCGCACGCCGAAGUAGGCCUCGCCGAUGAAGUCGAAGGAGGUGACGUCGUUGAGCUUGUUGAACUCGGCCUUGCCGCCCUCGGCGAGGUCCGACUCGACGGUGGCGAGCAGCGAGGAGAAGUUGGAGCGGAAGACGGGGAUGACGUCGUCCUUGCGGGAGAGCAGGAGGGAGAAGAGCAGCUGCUUCACCUUGGCGUGGGUGGGCUCGGAGGGGUCGAGGUAGGCGCAGACGCGGUGGCCGCCGGUGAGGGAGGUGGAGGGCAUGUAGGUGCCCGUGAACAGGUCCCUCUUCUCCACCUUGUCCAUGUCGAAGAGGACGGGGAAGCUCUUGGCGUCCAGGACCGCCACCACCCGCGGGUCGCGCGCCAUGAAGGGGCCCGGCGGGACGUUCAUGCGCACCACGGUGGAGCCGUAGCGCUCGACGCGGGACUCGAAGUACUUGUCCUGGCCCUGGAAGUAGUAGAAGUCGAGGCGGUCGCGGACGGCGCCCACCAGCGGAAGGCCGUAGCUGCCCGGCACAUCCCUGAGGGCGCUACUGAAACCACGAACGGAGGUCGCCAUAGAUGCUAAGCACUAGCUGCUUGGAUGAUUGCUCGUCUCGGCUUCACCAAGGUUUCAGGGUUUUCGAAGGACUGGAGGAGACGUUGAGUGCUUGUUGGGUAACGCAAGGGCGGGGC
rnacentral:misc_RNA from 1 species